rnacentral:lncRNA from 1 species
AUUUCCCUGCAUGGUGUCUUCAGGUGGAAUUAUUUUUUAAAGCCAUUCGUGCUGUUUCUCAUUUUGGAUUUCCUCUUCUGCACCCCCUUGACCACUGCAGGAGGAGCCGGCUGCAAAUCACCGAGGUGUUCCAUUCAAGCUGCAGAUUUGUCUGUCGUCUUUGGACAGCAGUCUCUUCCUCCACGGCUGCUUUGGGGGAGUCCAACACCCAUCGGUCUGGAGCAAAAUGAAAGAGCUUAUGUCGAGGCCUCCCAAGCAGUGCUGCUACAGACCAUGAACAAGAGAGGAGGAGGAGACCUCAGCCUGCACGAACGAUCCUGAAACACAAAUGGUCUUGGGUAAGUCAUCUGAAGGGCUUGGCAUCCAUCAGCUGUAAAUUUCAUCCAUCAUCGUUGGUUUGGUGUCCCAGGACAUCUUAUUCAACCCAAGCAACAGGAUGUUGAGGAAAUGUUGAUCAAGUGCUGGAGAGCUGAAAGAACAAUGAAAGUGACUUAGCGUGUUCAUUUCUGAAAUUUGCAGAAGAGUAGGAUUUGAGCGGAAUGCAUUGGUGGUUAGGAAAGACUAGAAAGAACCGAACUAAACACAUAGGCAACAAACUUCAUCUUCCGUGUAUUGCAUUUCAGUGGAGAGAAUAUUGGGUUAAUCACAUGAGAGACAGUAGAUUCAGUCUAGGGGCACAUUUGUUAUCCUUUAAGUGAAGUAUUGGGAUGAGCAAGGUGAGAGGCACUGCGAGUUUCCAGAGCCUAUUCAACAGGAUCUAUUGUGAACCUUUUUAAAAAAUAUUUAUUCAUUUAUUUAUUUGGCUGCAUCGGUCUUAGUUGUGGCAUGUGGGGUCCUUGUGUCGUGCAGUGUCUUGCGUUGGCUCAGUAGUUGUAGCACAAGGACUUAGUUGCUCUAGCGGCAUGUGGCAUCUUAGUCCUCUGACCAGGGAUCAAGUCUGCAUCCCCUGCAUGGAAAGUGGAUUCUUAACCACUGAGCAACCAGGGAAGUCCCUAUUGUGAA